AGUUAAUAAGCUUUAAAGCAUAUAUUUUGAAAAUAUAAGAGAAAGGUUUAAUUCCUUUAUUAACUU
rnacentral:tRNA from 1 species